rnacentral:rRNA from 1 species
UACGUAGGGGGCAAGCGUUGUCCGGAAUUAUUGGGCGUAAAGAGCGCGUAGGCGGUCCGAUAAGUCGGCUGUGAAAGUCAGGGGCUCAACCCUUGGAAGCCGGCCGAUACUGUCGGACUAGAGUCCGGAAGAGGAGAGUGGAAUUCCCGGUGUAGCGGUGAAAUGCGCAGAUAUCGGGAAGAACACCCGUGGCGAAGGCGGCUCUCUGGGACGGUACUGACGCUGAGACGCGAAAGCGUGGGGAGCGAACAGG